rnacentral:lncRNA from 1 species
UCAAUAUGCACUUAUUUACAAGAUAUAUAAGAAAUUUACCUAAAUCUGCCUAGGCACUAGGCGCUAGCCCGCCACCCGACUAGCGCCUAGUGUUUUUUAGAACCUUGGAAUUUAGUAGCUACUUAUAAAAACCAAAAUUACCAUUGGUUAUCAUCAAUCUAUGAUUCCAUAUUCUCAUGUGCAUGUGCAUGCAUAAAAGCUUUUUAUUUCUUUGGAUAUCCAUUGCCUCUUCAAGGGCAUUACACUAUCUCUUCCAGGAUAGUCAUAAUUUAGAGAAUGCGGAUCAUAAACUCUUCUUGAGCGUUAUAGAGCUUGGAUUUUAAUCUCCACUUCCGGGAGUUGAGUCAUUGGAACCUAUACGUCUAUCAUGCUUCAUGCAUGAGACAUCAAUAUUCCCAUGUCCGCGGAUCGUCCUUUCUGGGAUGUGUAUCCAUACGGUGACUGUCAUGCUUCUGGCAUGCAACAGUUAUGAUUCGGAAAUGCAAUAGUUCAGUAGUGCCAAAUUAUUAUUCUUUCAAAUGACUAAACCUUUUGAGUCUAAAAGUCUACCACGCUUCAGGCGUGCAACAGAGAAAUCAUUUACUGCCUCAUUAUAUUGUCCAACAAGGAUAUCAAUUCUUGUAGGCACAUUUGCAGAAAAUAUAUGUGGUUCACUUUCGUUGCAUCAUUAAAUGCAUCUGGCAUUUGAUUGAUACAUCGUUGCAUCAUUCAAUUAUUCUUACUUCAUUUU